rnacentral:rRNA from 1 species
AGUGAACGCUGGCGGUAGGCCUAACACAUGCAAGUCGAACGGCAGCACAGUAAGAGCUUGCUCUUACGGGUGGCGAGUGGCGGACGGGUGAGGAAUACAUCGGAAUCUACUUUUUCGUGGGGGAUAACGUAGGGAAACUUACGCUAAUACCGCAUACGACCUACGGGUGAAAGCAGGGGAUCUUCGGACCUUGCGCGAUUGAAUUAGCCGAUGUGGGAUUAUCUAGUUGGCGGGGUAAAGGCCCACCAAGGCGACGAUCCGUAGCUGGUCUGAGAGGAUGAGCAGCCACACGGGAACGGAGACACGGUCCAGACUCCUACGGGAGGAAGCAGUGGGGAAGAUUGGACAAUGGGCGAAAGCUUGAGACAGCAAUACGGAGGGGGGGAAGAAGGUCUUCGGAUUGUAAAGCUGUUUUGUGGGGAAAAAAAAGAAGCAGGUUAAUACCCGGCUGUUUUGACGGUACCAAAAGAAAAAGCACCGGCUAACUUCGUG